rnacentral:rRNA from 1 species
UGGGGAAUCUUGCGCAAUGGAGGAAACUCUGACGCAGCUGCGCCGCGUGCAGGAAGACACCCCUACGGGGCGUAAACUGCUUUUCUGCGAGAAGAAGGCCGCUGCCUGAGAGGGCAGGGUUUGUCGGUACCGUAGGAAUAAGGACCGGCUAACUCCGUGCCAGCAGCCGCGGUAAUACGGAGGGUCCAAGCGUUGUCCGGAAUCACUGGGUGUAAAGGGUGUGCAGGCGGACUGUCAAGUCAGUGGUGAAAGCCCGCAGCUCAACUGCGGAAGUGCCAUUGAAACUGGCAGUCUUGAGUCCCGGAGGGGCUAUCGGAAUUCGUGGUGUAGCGGUGAAAUGCGUAGAUAUCACGAGGAACACCAGAAGCGUAAGCGGAUAGCCGGACGGUGACUGACGCUCAGGCACGAAAGCGUGGGGAGCAAACAGGAUUAGAUACCCCUGUAGUCC